CAGUCGCCGCGGGAAUACAGAAGGUGCAAGCGUUAAUCGGAUUUACUGGGCGUAAAGCGUGCGUAGGCGGCUUCUUAAGUCGGAUGUGAAAUCCCUGAGCUUAACUUAGGAAUUGCAUUCGAUACUGGGAAGCUAGAGUAUGGGAGAGGAUGGUAGAAUUCCAGGUGUAGCGGUGAAAUGCGUAGAGAUCUGGAGGAAUACCGAUGGCGAAGGCAGCCAUCUGGCCUAAUACUGACGCUGAGGUACGAAAGCAUGGGGAGCAAACAGGAUUAGAUACCCCCGUAGUCCCUGUCUCUUAUAC
rnacentral:rRNA from 1 species